UACCCGCAGCACAAGUGGUGGUCAUUAUUAUUGGGCCUAAAGCGUCCGUAGCUGGCUUGUUAGAUGCCUGGGUAAAUCGAUGCGCUCAACGUAUCGACUUCCGGGUAGACCGGCAAGCUCGAGACCGGGAGAGGUGUAGGCUACUCGAGGGGUAGGGUAAAAUCCUGUAAUCCUUCGGGGAGGACCAGUGGCGAAGGCGCUACACUAGAACGGCUCUGACAGUGAGGGACGAAGCCCUGGGGCGCAAACCGG
rnacentral:rRNA from 1 species